rnacentral:rRNA from 1 species
UACGGGGGGGGCAAGCGUUGUCCGGAAUUAUUGGGCGUAAAGGGUGCGUAGGUGGGCAGGUAAGUCAGUGGUGAAAUCUCCGGGCUUAACCCGGAAACUGCCAUUGAUACUAUCUGUCUUGAAUACCCUGGAGGUGAGCGGAAUAUGUCAUGUAGCGGUGAAAUGCUUAGAUAUGACAUAGAACACCCAUUGCGAAGGCAGCUCACUACGGGAAUAUUGACACUGAGGCACGAAAGCGUGGGGAUCAAACAGG